GCCUGGAUAGCUCAGCUGGUUAGAGCAUGGUGCUGAUAAUGUCAAGGUUGCAGGUUCGAUCCCCGUAUGGGACA